rnacentral:rRNA from 1 species
ACGUAGGGGGCAAGCGUUAUCCGGAUUUACUGGGUGUAAAGGGAGCGUAGACGGCGCGGCAAGCCAGAUGUGAAAGCCCGGGGCUCAACCCCGGGACUGCAUUUGGAACUGCUGAGCUAGAGUGUCGGAGAGGCAAGUGGAAUUCCUAGUGUAGCGGUGAAAUGCGUAGAUAUUAGGAGGAACACCAGUGGCGAAGGCGGCUUGCUGGACGAUGACUGACGUUGAGGCUCGAAAGCGUGGGGAGCAAACAG